rnacentral:rRNA from 1 species
GGGUCACCUCCCAUCCGUGUCUAUCUGUACCCUGUUGCUUCGGCGUGGCCACGGCCCGCCGGAGACUAACAUUUGAACGCUGUCUGAAGUUUGCAGUCUGAGUUUUUAGUUAAACAAUCGUUAAAACUUUCAACAACGGAUCUCUUGGUUCCGGCAUCGAUGAAGAACGCAGCGAAAUGCGAUAAUUAAUGUGAAUUGCAGAAUUCAGUGAAUCAUCGAGUCUUUGAACGCACAUUGCGCCCCCUGGUAUUCCGGGGGGCAUGCCUGUCCGAGCGUCAUUGCUGCCCUCAAGCACGGCUUGUGUGUUGGGCUUCCGUCCCUGGCAACGGGGACGGGCCCAAAAGGCAGUGGCGGCACCAUGUCUGGUCCUCGAGCGUAUGGGGCUUUGUCACCCGCUCCCGUAGGUCCAGCUGGCAGCUAGCCUCGCAACCAAUCUUUUUAACCAGGUUGACCUCGGAUCAGGUAGGGAUACCCGCUGAACUUAAGCAUAUCAAUAAGCGGA